CAUCUGGACACCCACCCCAGAAAGCACGGACCUUCUGGGGUGUGUGUGAAUAGGCACCCGGGAACAUUUGCAUUUUUUAAACACGAAUGUUCCUGGGAUAAAUGCCUGUUUGGAAGCGCCCUUUGUUACAAAUGACAAAAAUAUUUUGAUGCCCCGCCUAGACAGAAUAUGCAAACAGCCAUUUCCCUUGAGAACACAAGACCCAUUGGAAAGGCUAUGGAACAACAUUUUCAUUAUCUAUCUUUUUUCUUUUUUCUCUCUCUCUUAAUACUUCAUCACAUUUACUAAAUACCACUGAGUGCUACAUUUAAAAUCCGGGAAGCCACUGUUCUCAUCAAAUCAGUUUGGCUUCAAGUGUAGGAUACAGCAUUCUUUGCGUAUUUUAAGCAUGGAAGCCAGCAUUCUUUUCAAAUGUUUCAGGAAGUGGCAGGGAAGUGGAUUUUUGGAUAAUCCGGAUGUUUGGCCAGUUCUCUAAUGUGAUGGCACUUGUUGCUCCCAGGUGUAAAAUGAAACAUCUCCCCAAUUUGUGAGAGGGGAAAUUGUGGUACCUUUGUUAUGGAAAGCCUUACCUUUUGUUCACCGAGUUUUUACUUUACGAGAACAAUUUCUUUUUAAAAAAACUAGCUAUGCCCGGCCACGCGUUGCUGUGGCGAAGCCUGGUGUUAUGGGAAAUAAAGUAUUGAGCAAUUGGUGGUAGUUGGUAUAUGUCAUUUCCAAAAGGUUGUGAAUAUGCAGUAUUUGUGGUUAUUCCUUUUUUUUGUCGUUUGUUUCUUGUGUGGAAUUCAUCUGUUUUGAGAGUGUUGUUCUUUACGUCUUGAUGUGGAGGAGUGUGGUGGUGUUGAAAAUAAAGUAAUGAGGAAGUCGUGGUAUAUGUGUUAUGGUUGUAUAUAUGUAGAAAAUGGAUAAGAUUGUGUGUGAUCUUGAGCGCAAAUCAUGUCUAGUGAACUUCCAGUAAGUCCAUUAGUAGUUAAAGUCUGAAGGAAGUACGGUUUGAUGGUGUAAGGGUAUUGAAUGGUAUUAAAAGUGGUCAAGAAAGGUUUAGCUUAGGUAGGAAGGAGCGAGGGUUGGAAGGUGAAAGGAUAUUCAAUUGUAUUUAAGCUGGGUAACAAAGGGUUGCCCUUGGUAGGAAGUAGUCAUAUGUUGUACGUUGAGCAUCUGUUGUACGUUGUAUCCAUAUACAAAUGUGUGUAUAUGUAUAUAGAUUCUGUUUCUCAUAUAGAAAUAAUCUGAAGUUGCCUAUAUAUAUUCCAUAUAUGUAUGUAUCCCACACCUAUAUAUGGUGUAUGGUGAGUAUGGGUUAUCCAUAUAUACCAGUGUGUGUGUGUGUGUGUGUGUGUGUGUGUGUGUAUACAACCUGCUGUAUUAUAUUAUAUUAUUGUUAUUAUUAUUAUUAUUAUUAUUAUUAUUAUUAUUAUUAUUAUUAUUUUCCAAAGGUUUAUUAUUAUGAUUUAAUAUUAUUAUUAUAUUUGAAAGGUUUAUUUUCAUUAUUACUAUGUAAUAUUAUUAUAUUUAAAAGGUUUAUUAUUAUUAUGUAAUAUUAUUAUUAUAUUCCAAAGGUUUAUUAUUAUUAUUAUUAUUAUUAUUCCUCCCAAGAAAGGAUUCCCCUAAGUAGGAAGCAGGCAGGGUUUGAAGUUGUAAGGUCAUUCAAUGGUAAUUAAUCUGAUGAGAUUUGGUUUGAAGAUCCAAUGAUGGUUAAGUGUUAUUAUUAUUAUUAUUAUUAUUAUUAUUAUUAUUAUUAUUAUUAUUAUUAUAGUAUGGAGUAUUAAAAAGCCUUAUUAUUAUGAUAGCAUUAUAAUAUUAUGGGGUAUUUAAAAGCCACCCCUUAUACACAAUAGAGAGAACAGAAUGGCAGAGAAAAGAAACUUUGCACAUCCUCAGAGGUUCGCUUUUUGGAAACUGUUGGGAGAAAAACAGGAGGAAAGUAUAUUGCCUAUUUAUUGACUGAUUAAUGUAUUGUUUUAUGAUUGUUAUUUAAUAUCGAUUGGAGUGAAGUCACUUGAGCCACGAGGUGCUGGUUUUGUAUAAUCCAAGGUUGUCUGUUGUAUAACCAAAGGAGGAAGAAUGGAAGUUUUCCAGUAGCUAAGGAAACGUUGCAAACUCUCCCUGCCAUUGGGGAAGAGGCAUGGCAGAGAGAGCAUGAUGGGAACUGUAGUUUCCCCAGAAUAGAGGCUGGCUCUUAAAGGAGUCUUUGUGAUUCACAGCAGUUGAGAACAUUUGAAAGUUUUGGAAAGGAGUACUAAAAGGAAGACAGUAAGGCAGAAGGAAGGGAGAGAGGGAGGGGGUGUGCGGGGAAAAGGGAGAAGAAAAUGAUUUUGAGGCGGAAGGUGCUGCUGGUGGUGGUUCUUCCCUUCUUCCCUCAGGAAUCUCGCCUCGAAUCGGGAGGCAGGCGGAGGAAGGAGAGAGGGGGAGAGAAAGGAAGCCAUAGUGUCUGGAAGAGGAAAAGGAGACCCAUCUUUGACACUUGCCUGUGAGACUGUAAGAUGAAAGAUCAAUAUUCAAGGGCCAUGUUGAUGAUCUCAGCCUCCUUAACAAAACAGUGUUGACAGUUGACAAGCGUGCCUGUUUAUUAUCUGAGGAGAUGAAUCUAAGCACCAACACCACUUCUGCAAAGACGACACCAUUGUCUGGCCUGCAAAAGAAGAAAGCUGCAGAGGAUGAAGCUUUGAUGGGAAUAUUCUCCUCGUCAGCACCAAAACACCUAUCCAAGCAAGGGACCCAGUUUUAAGUAUCAUGAUGCAAAUGUUUCCAUAUAACAUCUUGGCUGAAUAUGAGAGAGGGCUAUAAAGGCAUUAUCCAUCCUAAUCAACCUGCAUUCCUUUGCAGUCAUUCUGAUUCAGGUCUGUUCAGAAAUGGUAUCAGCAAGGACAGCUACUUCUGAUGAUGCUUCUACACUAUUUGACACCAUUUUAACUGCUAUGACUCAAUGCUAUAGAAUAGUGUUGUGCACAGUAUUUGCUGAAUCUGUUUCAUUUGUGUAUUCGUUUUAUACUGUCCAUUUGGAUGCACAAAAGUUAAAAGUUUAAGUUGUAGAGUUGGGUUUGGAUGGGGAGUUUGUGUGGGGCUUUUCUUCUUUAUUCUUUGUGUAAAACCCCCUUCUUCCUCCACAUAUUUUUUUUUUAAAGAAAUAAAUUUCAAAGGAAAAAAUUGUUGGGCUUUCCUUCUCUAUUCAGAAAUUAAACCUGUCUCUCUCUCUUUAACUGGCCCUUGGAAAAAGUACUCUUUUACUUCUCCCUAUCUCUCUGUAUCGCCUGUGGCUUGGUCCUCCCUCUCCUUUGGGCUGCAUAGGAUAGUCUUAUUAUUUGUUAUAGAUAACAUAUAUUUUUGAAAGCAAAGACAUAUUUGGGCUCCUGUCUCUAUUCCAACCUCCAGUCUCUCUCUAAAAUUUCCCCUUAGAAGAACUAUAAGUAUUUUCUCCCAAUUGUCUGAACAUUUUUGUUUUUUUCAGACACCAGACGAAAAUCCCAUUAGGAUAGGCGCCUUGUUUUCGGAAGUGGAGGCAAAAAUGAAAAUCAGCCAAAACAAAUGAAACUAAACAAAAUGAACAGCAAUUUCAUACAAAUGCACACCACUACUAUAGAAUCAUGGGACAGGUUGUUUUACAAAAUAUUUACUUUCUCUGUUAAAGAGUGCUGAUGCCUCAGCAAAUUACAAAUUUCAAGAUUCUAUAGCAUUGAGGUAUGGCAAUUAAAAUGAUGUCAAACAACAUCCAUUGUUCUACAGUGUAGGUGAACCCUCCUUUUCUGUUGUAACACGAAUCAAAGGGUUGUUGUAUGUUUUCCGGGCUGUAUGGCCAUGUUCUAGAAGUAUUGUCUCCUGACGUUUCACCCACAUCAGGAGAGAAUACUUCUAGAGCAUGGCCAUACAGCCCGGGAAACAUACAACAACUCUGUGAUCCUGGCCAUGAAAGCCUUCGACAACACAACAAAUCAAAGGAUUCCUGCAGCAUAAAGUUGGGAAUGAUGACUUAAUUCAAAGACAGUUUCCCAUCCAAGUAGAUUUCAGAACUAAGCCUGGCACCCCAGCCUAUGGAAUUAACCCACACAGCCUGACAUUUACCCAAGUGCUGUUCUUGUCUUCAGAAAAUGAAGAUCUGAACUCAUUCAUGAAUCUCCCAAGUUAGUUCCCACCAGAACGAGAGUCAUGAUCUUUUAAAUAUUUUAGCAUUCUAAAGGAUAUGGCAUGAUACAUGAAUUUUAAAAUCAUCACACCCACUUUUAAAAUCCAUCUUCCAGAUUUAUUAACAGUGGGAGAUAUUCAUAUUUAAAUAAUGUUGGCAAAAGUCCAAGAUGGGAAUGCCAGAACAAUCAGGAAUGUAAUCAUACAGCAGAGCAAUCUAGUUAAUUAGCCUGUUUCAAACACCCAGUUCUAAAAAGAGAGAGCAAGUCUCAAUUGCAUUUUGCAGCGUAAGCCCCAUUAUGAAAGUACAUAAAAGCUUGGCAUUCCAGAUUUCAGGGUCUGGAUUCUCUUCUCCAGUUCUUAGCACAAGGGAGGUGAAUCUCAGGACGCAUACAGAUUUUCUUCAUGUGUUAGACUUUGUGCGUUGUUGUUUGUGCCAAUAUGGUUAUUGCUUCGUGUACAGUAGAGUCUCACUUAUCCAGAAUUCGCUUAUCCAACGUUCUGGAUUAUCCAAUGCAGUCUGUCUCCCACCUGGAUCCACAGCUGUUUUUCUAGGCAGCAAGGACUGAACUCAUGCAUUUAAUUUCCAACAAUGUUGUAACUAUAAUUUCAUUUUAUGCAAUUCUAUCUUUAUUUGUAGUCAAUUGGUUAGUAGCCAAUGUUUUUGUAGUCAAUGUUUUCAAUACAUUGCAGCGUUUUGGUGCUAAAUUCUUAAAUACAGUAAUUACUACAUAACGUUACCGUGUAUUGAACUGCUUUUUCUGUCGAUUUGUUGUAAAACUUGAUGUUUUGAUGUUUAAUUUGUAAAAUUAUAAAGUAAUUUGACGUUUAAUAGGCUUUUCCUUAAUCCCUCCUUAUUAUCCAACAUUUUCACUUAUCCAACGUUCUGCCAGCCCGUUUAUGUUGGAUAAGUGAGACUCUACUGUACCAUAUUUCAUGACAUCACUAUGGCUCUACCCCUGUGAUACCAAAAUGGGUUUCCCUAGGUCUCAUGUUUUGCCACUGAAAUAUCUAGCCCUGAGAUAAUUAUGACUUAGCAAUGUUAACAGUAAGCCACUUGCACUGUAUACUGCUCAGGAAUCACAUCUUACACUUUGGAGAAAGAGUAGGGUAUCAACUGAACAUACCAUUAUCUUAUCAUAUAUAUUAUAAACAGGGAUACCAUAUAUCCCCCUUUUCCUAGGUAGAUUUUCUUUGUAAGAGCUACAUUUUAAUCUUACUCCAAAGUAAAUAUACAAUAAUUAUAGUGAUCAGUGGUUUGAAGCAGUCAAUGGGCAAAUGUGUCUUUUCUGUUUUUCAAAAUAUGGUAACCCUAAUUACUGGCUAAAUCCAAUGGCAAGUCCCAGCUUCACAGACAAAAUGAAUCCAUAGGAUGUCUUAAGUAGAAAUGUAUCUAAGUUUUAUUAGGUCUACUCCAAUGAGGAGUGCAUAUUAGUUUAUAUAUGAAGCCAUAGUGAAAUCAGGUGUUAUAUAAUAGCUAUAUAGUCAAAACGGGGAAUCCAGAGGCUAUAGCAAGCUACUUCUGAUGAAACACCCUACAAGGUACACUGCACAUCUACAUUUAAAGUCAUCUUGGUCAUCUUUCCUGGUUUCUUUUGUGGCAAUAGCCCCAUUUAGCUGGAUUUUUUAUUUUACUUACCUUAGACUUAUGACAUGUGAUCUGAUGAAUCUUUUCUUUAAAUGAGUAGCUUGAAAUGCCUGAUUAAUCUAUUAAAAGAAAUGAAAAGUA